AGUGAACGCUGGCGGUAGGCCUAACACAUGCAAGUCGAACGGCAGCACAGUAAGAGCUUGCUCUUACGGGUGGCGAGUGGCGGACGGGUGAGGAAUACAUCGGAAUCUACUCUUUCGUGGGGGAUCACGUAGGGAAACCUACGCUAAUACCGCAUACGACCUACGGGUGAAAGCAGGGGAUCUUCGGACCUUGCGCGAUUGAAUGAGCCGAUGUCGGAUUAGCUAGUUGGCGGGGUAAAGGCCCACCAAGGCGACGAUCCGCAGCUGGUCUGAGAGGAUGAUCGGCCACACUGGAACUGGGACACGGUCCAGACUCCUACGGGAGGCAGCAGUGGGGAAUAUUGGACAAUGGGCGCAAGCCUGAUCCAGCCAUACCGCGUGGGUGAAGAAGGCCUUCGGUUUGUAAAGCCCUUUUGUUGGGAAAGAAAAGCAGCAGGUUGAUACCCCGCUGUUCUGACGGUACCCAAAGAAUAAGCACCGGCUAACUUCGUG
rnacentral:rRNA from 1 species